rnacentral:lncRNA from 1 species
CCAGGAGGUCGAGGCUGCAGUGAGCCAUGAUUGCACCACUGCACUCUAGCCUGGGUGACAGACUGAGACCCUGUCUCGAAUAAAUAAAUAAAACAAAACAACACAACACAACUCCUUCUGAAUUUCGUAGCUUGGUAGCUAGAGAAUUAGCAAGUAGAUUUUAAUAUUUUAAAAUACUGCUUAUGAGGAAUUUUUACUGUAAUGGGGCUUGUGAAACCUUCUUGAGCCAGUCAAACACAAACAGUUGUACCCACUCCAAGUCUUUUCAAUUUUAUCCUGCAUUGUUUCCUAAUAAAUUUACCUACUUGCCAUUUUAAAUGGCUGUCAAAACAUUAAUUUAUGAGCUGGACUAAAAGGUUACUUGCUACUGAAUUUAGAAAGUUCGCUUAAGAACUGCCUUGGAGUUUCUGGAUAACUGAUACUGAAGCAAAUGCAAUUAAGUAAAACAUUCAUGUCAUUGUUGCUCAGUAAUUAUGUUUCAAAAUAUUACAGUGUAUAAAUGUUUUGUCAAUACAUGACACAAGCAAUCAGUCUUCAUUUCUGCUUCAGUGUUAGAUAUAAUUUAAUUAUCAAACUCUAAAUAUGAGUCAUUAACUGAUGGUAUAUGUUAUACAUUAUUUUGCCCUAAGAACGAGUUGUGAAAAGUAAUGAGACUAAUUUCUGUAUAACCUACUGGACUUUUCUUAUUUUUAAGUCACUCUACAUAUUGAUUAUAUCUCAAUAUAAUUUCAGGUAAAUUGACUUUGCUUCUCUUGAGAUUUAAUACAGGAAACAUUCUACUUAAAUUAUUUGUCAGGAAGACUAGACCAAAAGCAGUGUCCAAGAUGCCCAAUAUGGCAUCAGAGUGGGACAUGAAGUGGAGCAUCUAGCAAGCCCCAAGAGCAGCCAGUGACCAAGAGAAAUACCCACUGGGCCCAUUCUGUCCAUUCCUCUCUCACAACAACCAGAGACUGUGGAUCUUCAUCCCCACUGCAAAUGGAGCUGAGGUGAGAGAGACCAGCAACCUUUAUUUGGAUCAGCAUGGACGAGGAGUCUCUCUCAUCCUGGACAUAUGAAUUGUAAUUGAAAAAAUGAAUGGUGAUUCAGUGGCCACAGACAAAAAAGGUAAAAAGGGAAGAUUUUCCAAAACAGCCCCAAUUUCUUACAAUAUCUGGUGUCAGUUCUUACCUUCUAGUUGAAUAGAAAUGGUUGGUUUCUUUGAAUGGUUGCUGUAGAUUAAAAUUUUAAGUGUCAUGAAUUACAGGCAUGUUCCUGCUACAGGGCCAUUUGACUUGUAAACAGCAAGACAAUGAUGUUCCUAGAACAAAGUGAAUAGAGACAGACUAACAGGAGAUAAGAUCAGAAAGGUAAUGGCAGAGUCAGACAGUCUAUUGCAGUGUGGACCACUGAAGAUUUAGGUCAAGGAAGAGGCAAGAUAAUCUGCAGCCAGAUCUCCAAAAUGAUCUGGAACCUGGGGUAGGAGCUACCUGACUCUGUGGCUUUCAGAACAAAGCAUUAUUAUCACCUCCUUAGGCUGAUUCUGCAGUAUGGUUUUGAGAACCUUUCCUGGAAGCUCAACCUGCUCCUUUAGCCCUCCUAACAAUUCUCUAUGCUUUAAAAUCUUGCUGAAACUAGCUACAGUAAAUUCUUUUGCCUGCAAAUAAGAACCCUAGUUGGGCCAGGCAUGGUGGCUCACACCUGUAAUCCCAGCACUUUGGGGGGCCGAGGCAUACGGAUCACGAAGUCGGGAGUUCGAGACCAGCCUGGAUGACAUGGUAAAACCCUGUCUCUACUAAAAUACAAAAAUUAGCCCGGCGUGGCGGCAGGCAGUGGGCACCUGUAAUUCCAGCUACUUGGAGGGCUGAGGCAGGAGAAUCACUUUAACCUGGGAGGUGGAGGUUGCAGUGAGUCAAGAUCAUGCCACUGCACUCCAGCCUGGGCAAUAGAGUGAGACUCUAUCUCAAAAAAAAAAAAAAAAAAACCUGGCUAUCACAACCUUAAUAGUGGUGGAAAGCGUGUAACAGUAGCUCUGAAAUCAGGGAGGGAAAAAAGCAGUCCCAGGCAGAACAGGGAGUAUCUACCCAGGCCUAUGGUGAGUGACAAAAUGCAAAGGUCAUGACAGUUAGGUGGUGUUAUUAUUUUUCUAUGACUGUCAUAACAAAUUACCAUAAUUUGGUGGCUUAAAGGAAAACAAAUUUAUUAUGUUACUGUUCUGGGGAUGAGAAAACUAAAACGAGUCCCACUAGGCAAAAAUCAAGAUGUCAGCAGGGCUGUUUCAUUCUGGAAUCUCUAGAGGGAGAAUCCAUUUUCUUGCCUUAACCAGCUUUUAAAUGUUGCCCUAAUUCCUUUGUUCAUGCUUCCCACUCCUCCAUCCUCAACACCAGCAAUGGCUAAUAAAGUCUUUCUCAAAUAGCACUUUUGGGUCCCUCUUCCACAAUUUAAGGAUGCUAGUGAUUACCACUGGGCAAUGUAGAUAAUCCAAAAUAAUCUUAUUUUAAAGAUACCUAAUUAACAACCUUAAUGUCAUUUGUUAUUUUAAUUCUCCUUUGGCACGUAAAUUAAUAUAUCCACAAAUUCCAGGUAUUAGGACACAGACAUCUUGCAGGGAGGCGGAUUAUUCUGCCUACUACAAGUGAGAGAAUCGGAAGACUGGCUGGUUAAUAGCACGUUUCGAUAGAACAAUUUUCAAGCAAUAAGAUACCAACCUAGUGGAACUUAAUGCAGCCCUGAAGCUGACAAAGUAUAACUAAGAAAACUGUAACAAAACACAGUCCAGAAAAGGCCUUUUCUGUUAUAAAUUUACAUAGAUAAAUAUUUAUAUAAGAAGUUACUUGAAAAUAAAACCCACUGAUAAACCUUAAAUCACAUACUUAAGAAAAUCACUUUUAAUAAAAUAAAUUAAGAAGGAGAGUAAAAUAAUACUUAGCAAAUACAGCAGAUAAAAUAAUCCUGAUUGUAACAAAUUGGGGCUGUUCUGGAAAAUGUGGGAGAUUAAAAAAAAAAAAAAAAAGAGGCCAAGCUCAUUAGUGUAUUACUAACAGGUAAUGAUCACAUUAACAUGUCAAGCAAAGCUCACACAAUUUAGGUGAUUUUAUAAAAGAAGAAUAAUUUGUGUUUUUUCAAAAAACAAAAACACAGGUGUCAAUUCCUACCUUCUAGUUGAACAGAAAUUGUUGGUUUCUUUGGCUGGUUGCUGUAGAUUAAAAUUUUAAGUACCAUGAAUUAAGGUACAGUAAGGGGGAACAAGCAUGUAGUAAAAAUAUCAUAAAAGGUUUAGAAGUUUUGGCCUUUGAAAAUUUUUUCUUACAGAUGAAAUCUCUCUAAACUAAGGAGAGUAAGAUUGCCAUUUAUGCUCCUGCCAGGUAUUUUUCAAGCAAACAACAUAGGUUGUUGUUAUUUUUUAAGGAAAUUUAACCUCAAAUGUAUUCCAAAAAUCUAUUUUAAAUGUAUACCAAGAUUGAAAUUGGGAUUCUGUUAGAAAUGUGUGUGUGUGUGUA